rnacentral:Y_RNA from 1 species
GGCUGGUCGAAGUGCAGUGGUGUUUACAACUAAUUGAUCACAAGCAGUUACAGAUUUCUUUGUUCCUUCUCCACUCCCACUGCUUCACUUGACUAGUCUUUA